rnacentral:rRNA from 1 species
UACGGGGGGGGCAAGCGUUGUUCGGAAUUAUUGGGCGUAAAGGGCGCGUAGGCGGCGGGGUAAGUCGGGUGUGAAAUCUCAGGGCUCAACCCUGAAACUGCACUCGAUACUGCUCUGCUUGAGGACUGGAGAGGAGACUGGAAUUCACGGUGUAGCAGUGAAAUGCGUAGAUAUCGUGAGGAAGACCAGUGGCGAAGGCGGGUCUCUGGACAGUUCCUGACGCUGAGGCGCGAAGGCCAGGGGAGCAAACGGG